UCUUUGGGCCACCUCCCAUCCGUGUCUAUUGUACCCUGUUGCUUCGGCGGGCCCGCCGCUUGUCGGCCGCCGGGGGGGCGCCUCUGCCCCCCGGGCCCGUGCCCGCCGGAGACCCCAACACGAACACUGUCUGAAAGCGUGCAGUCUGAGUUGAUUGAAUGCAAUCAGUUAAAACUUUCAACAAUGGAUCUCUUGGUUCCGGCAUCGAUGAAGAACGCAGCGAAAUGCGAUAACUAAUGUGAAUUGCAGAAUUCAGUGAAUCAUCGAGUCUUUGAACGCACAUUGCGCCCCCUGGUAUUCCGGGGGGCAUGCCUGUCCGAGCGUCAUUGCUGCCCUCAAGCCCGGCUUGUGUGUUGGGUCGCCGUCCCCCUCUCCGGGGGGACGGGCCCGAAAGGCAGCGGCGGCACCGCGUCCGAUCCUCGAGCGUAUGGGGCUUUGUCACAUGCUCUGUAGGAUUGGCCGGCGCCUGCCGACGUUUUCCAACCAUUCUUUCCAGGUUGACCUCGGAUCAGGUAGGGAUACCCGCUGAACUUAAGCAUAUCAAUAAGCGGAGG
rnacentral:rRNA from 1 species